GCCAGCUGCUCCCGGGCCUUCUCCGAGGGCUCCUGGGGGGUCUCGGAGCCUUUCCUCUUGAACUUCUUCGACUGCGGGAGACAGGGGCAGGAGCAACGCUUUAGGGAACCAGAGAAGGCCCCAUGUCAGCCCGAGGGCGGAGGGCAGCGGGGGUGUCUGGGGCGCGGCUGGAGGUGGAAGACCACUCUUGGGUGAUGUCAGCUGCUCAUCUGUUACAUGGCAAACCCGCCCAAAGUUGCCAGCGUGAAGAGGAGCCUGGCCCUCAUUGUUGCAUGCGGAAGAGGCGGCCUUGCUGUGUGACCUUGGGCGAGUCACUUAACAUCUCUGAGCCUCCGGUCUCUCAUCUAUAAAAUGGGGUGUGCCUACCUUUGUUGUCAGCGUUAGAUGAGCUAAUAUGGGGACAGUGACCAGCACAGUGCCUGACCCACAGCAAGCGCUGGGGGACACGGGAGCUGUUACCUACCAGCGGCAUCCUGAAGGAAUUGUGCUCCUCCUCUGCUCAGACACCGUCGUACCAGAGAGUCAAAGCCAUGUGAACAGGGGCACUGAAGCUUGCACACUUGGGAAGAGAGAGACUGUUUCCUGCUGCAUCUGAACCUGGGUGAAGGAGGUCGGGAGUGGCUGGCAGCUGCUGCCACUGCAGGAGCCUGAGAAUAAAGCCAACGUGGAGGAGAGAAGACAAAACGGAGAGAGAUGGAAGCUUAGGGACAUCUGAGCCCCUGGAUACAGCCGAGCCUGAAGGUACCUCUGGGUCAUGUCCAAUUACAUGAAUCAACAUAUUCUCCUCAGGUAGUCUGAGAUGAGUUUUCUAUCACUUGCAACCAAAUGAGUUCUCAAGCCCGAAGUACUUAAGAUUCAUUUAAUGCACAAACAAAGCACCUACUCUGUGCUAAACAUCGGAGAGAAUUCAGUGAUAAGUCAGGCUUCAAGGUGCUAUAAAUCUUGCCUGGGCUAAAAUAGUGGAAAAGGCUCCACAGAGGAAGUGACUUUUCAUUUUGGUUUUGAAGGAUUAAUAGGAGUUCACCAAGCAGAGAAGAAAAGGGGGGAAGGAAUUCUGGGUAAAGAGAACUGUCUGGGCAAAGGGUGAGAGGGCAGUGAGUAACAGGAGUGUUCCGAGAAUGAUGUGGUCUCGUGUAGGUGGCAGCACCCACUAGGAAGUGACUGGCAAAGAGGUCUGGAGAAGCCCAGAUGUUCCUGAGAAGCAAGGAGGUAAUGAGGUCAGCCUGUAAGGGGUCAGUUAAUUGCCCCUCCCUGUAGCGUGCUGUCUGGGUGGCUGCCUGGCCAGGACUGACACGUCCCCGCUCCUCCUGAACCCAGGUGGGGCCGUGUGGCGAAUUCUCACCAACCCGGUGUGAGCAGAGGGGAGGGGUGGCACUUGCAGGCCACGGCUUUUAGGAAGUGGAUGUGACAUUCCCAUCCUCUCUUCCCCACCUGACAUCUGCGGGAGUUGGAGCCACAGAUCAACCUACAGAAGAAUCACCUGCCGACCACGGGCGUCCUCAUGGAACUGUCACAAGAGGAGCAACUGAUUUCGGUCGUGUUAAGCCAAGGGCAUGUGGGGAUAUAGUUGUCACAGCCGCUACCAUGACUCUAAGAAUACCCCGACUUCUUCCUUCCUAACAGGGCUCUGAUCUGGUCCCUCCUCAAUGUGCCCAGUCCCAGAGGAUGAAUCCUGAUUGGUUCCCACUUCCCUUUGUCAAUGAUUGGUCUAAGGAUGGGUGUGUGAACCAGAUCUGACCAGUAAGACACAAAGAGAAGUCUAUUCCCAUGCCUUUGUGAAAAAAGAGUUUGUUCAUGUUCCCCUUUUUUGCUUUUGGGAAUUAUUGUGAAGCAUGAUGGCUGGUGCGAUGGCAGCCAUCCUGUGUCUAUGAGGAGAAAUAGCACUGUCACUCUGAGGAGAGCAAAGAAGAAAGAUGGGAGAAAAUUUAGGUCCUUAUUGACACUAUUUCCCACUGCUCCCUCCUUGGAACUGCCUACCUCUGGGUUUCAUGUUAAGUGAAAUAAUAAGUAUUAGUAUUGCUUAA